rnacentral:rRNA from 1 species
GACAGAGGGGGCAAGCGUUGCUCGGAAUUACUGGGCGUAAAGGGCGCGUAGGCGGGAUGGCAAGUCGGUCGUGAAAUCCUUCGGCUCAACCGAAGAACGUCGAUCGAUACUGCUGUUCUUGAGGGUUGCAGAGGAGACUGGGAUUCCCGGUGUAGCGGUGAAAUGUGUAGAGAUCGGGAGGAACACCGGUGGCGAAGGCGGGUCUCUGGGCAAUUCCUGACGCUGAGGCGCGAAAGCGUGGGGAGCAAACGGG